CCACAGCCCUGUUAGGGAUAGGAGAAGAACCUCGCCCUAACAGGAGCAAAGUCGAGGGCCCGGUUACACUUAGACCGGAUGGGAGUAGAGACCCUGCAACGCCCAUAUGUGCCCCCACAGCCCUGUUAAGGACAGGAGGAGAACCUCGCCCUAGCAGGAGCAAAGUCGAAGGCCCGGUUAUACUUAGACCGGAUGGGGGGAGAGGCCCUGCAACACCCAUAUGUGCCCCC
rnacentral:lncRNA from 1 species